rnacentral:rRNA from 1 species
GUGUCAGCCGCCGCGGUAAUACGUAGGGUGCAAGCGUUAAUCGGAAUUACUGGGCGUAAAGCGUGUGUAGGCGGUUCGGAAAGAAAGAUGUGAAAUCCCAGGGCUCAACCUUGGAACUGCAUUUUUAACUGCCGAGCUAGAGUAUGUCAGAGGGGGGUAGAAUUCCACGUGUAGCAGUGAAAUGCGUAGAUAUGUGGAGGAAUACCGAUGGCGAAGGCAGCCCCCUGGGAUAAUACUGACGCUCAGACACGAAAGCGUGGGGAGCAAACAGGAUUAGAUACCCUGGUAGUCCACGCCCUAAACGAUGUCAACUAGCUGUUGGGGCCGUUAGGCCUUAGUAGCGCAGCUAACGCGUGAAGUUGACCGCCUGGGGAGUACGGUCGCAAGAUUAAAACUCAAAGGAAUUGACGGGGACCCGCACAAGCGGUGGAUGAUGUGGAUUAAUUCGAUGCAACGCGAAAAACCUUACCUACCCUUGACAUGUCUGGAAAGCCGAAGAGAUUUGGCCGUGCUCGCAAGAGAACCGGAACACAGGUGCUGCAUGGCUGUCGUCAGCUCGUGUCGUGAGAUGUUGGGUUAAGUCCCGCAACGAGCGCAACCCUUGUCAUUAGUUGCUACGCAAGAGCACUCUAAUGAGACUGCCGGUGACAAACCGGAGGAAGGUGGGGAUGACGUCAAGUCCUCAUGGCCCUUAUGGGUAGGGCUUCACACGUCAUACAAUGGUCGGGACAGAGGGUCGCCAACCCGCGAGGGGGAGCCAAUCUCAGAAACCCGAUCGUAGUCCGGAUCGCAGUCUGCAACUCGACUGCGUGAAGUCGGAAUCGCUAGUAAUCGCGGAUCAGAAUGUCGCGGUGAAUACGUUCCCGGGUCUUGUACACACCGCCCGUCACACCAUGGGAGUGGGUUUCACCAGAAGUAGGUAGCCUAACCGUAAGGAGGGCGCUUACCACGGUGGGAUUCACUGGGGUGAAGUCGUAACAAGGUAACC